CCCGCUGAACUUAAGCAUAUCAAUAAGGCGAGGAAUAGAAACCAACCGGGAUUCCCCUAGUAGUGGCGAAUGAAGCGGGAAAAGCUCAAGUUUGAAAUCCGGGCAACCGGAGUUGUAAGCUGAUGAGGCAUCGACCGACGUGGUCCGGGCCCAAUUUCCUUGGAACAGGAGGUCAUGGAGGGUGAGAACCCCGUCUGUGGCUCGGGUGCCAUUGUCCCUGUGUCGUGCCCUCUAAGAGUCGGGUUGUUUGGGAAUGCAGCUCAAAAUGGGUGGUAAAUUUCAUCUAAAGCUAAAUACUGGCGAGAGACCGAUAGCAAACAAGUAGAGUGAUCGAAAGAUGAAAAGUACUUUGAAAAGAGAGUGAAACAGUACGUGAAAUUGUUGAAAGGGAAGCGUUUGGCAUCAGCCCUUGGCAUCUGUCGAACAUCCGGGCUUCUGUCCGGUGCACUCGUCAGAUGUCGGGCCAGCGUCGGCUCUGCCUGUCGGAGAAAGGCCCAAGGGACGUGGCUCACCUUCGGGGGAGCGUUAUAACUCUGGGCGUCAUACGAUGUGGUGGGGCCGAGGUCUACGGAUUCUGUCCUAGGACGCUGGCGUAAUGGUUCCAAGCGACCCGUCUUGAAACACGG
rnacentral:rRNA from 1 species